GACGAACGCUGGCGGCGUGCCUAAUACAUGCAAGUCGAACGCAGUGGGGACGGGUGAGUAACACGUGGGUAACCUCCCAUCAGAGGGGAUAACACUUGGAAACAGGUGCUAAACCGAUACUGAUGGAUGGACCCGCGGUGCAUUAGCUAGUUGGUGAGGUAACGGCUCACCAAGGCCACGAUGCAUAGCGGACCGGAGAGGGGGAUCGGACACGCUGGGACGGAGACACGGCCCAGACUCCUACGGGAGGCAGCAGUAGGGAAUCGUCAGCAAUGGACGAAAGUCUGACCGAGCAACGCCGCGUGAGGGAAGAAGUUGUUCGGACCGUAAAACUCUGUUGUUGGAGAAGCGGGAUCUGACCAGAAAGCCACGGCUAACUACGUGCCAGCCGCCGCGGUAAUUC
rnacentral:rRNA from 1 species